UCCUUUUUGGAGGCUCUGGGGAAGAACAUGCUUUGAAGUUCAUUCAUUGGUUGUUGGCUGAAUUCAGUUCUUGUGGAUUUAGGACGGAGGUUCCCAUUCCUCGUUGGGUGUCAGCCGGGAGCCUCUGUCUCAGCGUUGUAAGGCGGCCCACGUUCAUUCUCACCUGGCCUCCACCAUCUUCCAGCCAGCAAUGGCAAGGACUGCAAUUGCCGUGUCAAUUGAGGGAAGACUGCACUUUGUUUCGCUUGAAACCUUACCAAGUUGUUCGCCAUUUUGGAAUGUCACGACACUGAUGGCAAGACCACCCUUGACAAUACCUACUGACUCCUUGACGUGAAUGAUGAGGAUCUACGUCAGUUACAUCAUCCCUCCUCACAAAUCUCUAUUUCUUUCUCCAUCGAAGUUUGACUGUAUCCUCUGAUCCCCGCUUGAGCAGCUGAGGAUAUCAAUAGUGCUGCUUUUUCAUUCAUAUUCUCCCAUGCCCCCCUUUGUGUCAUCUAUGCUUUCAUUGGCAUAGUCAAACAUUGUCAAGGUUUGCUAACAUUUUCAUUUAGUUCUGCAAACAGAACUCAGUCUUUUUUUUUUUUUUGCUUUGUCAUAAGGUGACUAUAAAAGUU